rnacentral:rRNA from 1 species
CUACGGGUCGCUCCAGUCGAGAAUCUUCGGCAAUGGACGAAAGUCUGACCGAGCGACGCCGCGUGCGGGAUGAAGGCCUUCGGGUUGUAAACCGCUGUCAGAGGGAAGGAAAUUUUGACCGAUCCUCAAAGGAAGUACGGGCUAAGUUCGUGCCAGCAGCCGCGGUAAGACGAACCGUACAAACGUUAUUCGGAAUCACUGUGCUUAAAGGGUGCGUAGGUGGUCUAUUAAGUUGGGUGUGAAAUCCCUCGGCUCAACCGAGGAACUGCGCUCAAUACUGGUAGACUUGAGGGAGAUAGAGGUGAGCGGAACUGAUGGUGGAGCGGUGAAAUGCGUUGAUAUCAUCGGGAACACCUGUGGCGAAAGCGGCUCACUGGAUCUCUUCUGACACUGAGGCACGAAAGCUAGGGGAGCGAACGGGAUUAGAUACCCGAGUAGUC